rnacentral:tRNA from 1 species
AGUUUUUAGUUUUGGAAACAAAAGAUUUUGAAAGUCUUCAAAAGGUGUUCGAAUCACCUAAAAACUU